GUGCUCAAUUCAACAGCACAUAUACUAAAACUGGAAUGAUACAAAGAAGAUUAACAAGGCCCCUGUGCAAGCAUGGCAUGCAAAUUUGUGAAGUGUUCCACAUUUUU